ensembl:lncRNA
GAAGGCUUUAGCUAGUUUCAGUGAGCAGGGGCUUCUCAAUGCAGCAGUUUCUCUUGUUGCGGAGCAUGGGCUCUAGGCGCUCAGGCUUCAGUAAUUGUGGUUCAUGGGCUUAGAUGACCUAUGGCACGUGGAAUUUUCCUGGACCAGGAGUCAAACCCGUGUCCCCUGUUUUGGCAGGCAGAUUCUUAAUCACUUCUCACCAGGAAAGUCCAACACUUAUUAAGUUCACCAUCUUAUAUAGGCAUGGUUCAUGGCAUCGGCAAACAAUCACAAUUGUAAUGUCAAACAUUACUGAUCAUCAUAACAAAUAUAAUGAACAGCUUUGAAGUACUGUGAGAACCACCAAAAUGUGACACAGAGACAGGAAUUGAGAGGAUGCUGUUGGAAAAAUAGCACCAAGAUUGCCAUAAACCUUCAGCUUGUAAAGAUCACAGUGAAGCCCAGUAAUAUGAGGUAUGUCUGUCCUCUAAUACUACUACUACUACUACUACUACUACUACUACUAAGUCACUUCAGUCGUGUCCUACUCUGUGCGACCCCAUAAACGGCAGCCCACCAGGCUCCGCCAUCCCUCAGAUUCUCCAGGCAAGAACACUGGAGUGGGUUGCCAUUUCCUCCUCCAAUGCAUGAAAGUGAAAAGUGAAAGUGAAGUCGCUCAAUAGUGUCCAACUCUUCGCGACCCCAUGGACUGCAGCCCACCAGGCUCCUCCGUCCAUGGGAUUUUCCAGGCAAGAGUACUGGAGUGGGGUGCCAUUGCCUUCUCCGAUGUCUGUCUAGGUAGAGCAAUUAAGAGCCACUCCACAAUUAGACCUGGACUGCAGUAUCAGUUCAGUUCAGUUGCUCAGUUGUGUCCGCCUCUUUGCGACCCUAUGAACCGCAGCACGCCAGGCCUCCCUGUCCAUCACCAACUUCCCAGAGUUCACCCAAACUCAUUGCCGUUGAGUCAGUGAUGCCAUCCAGCCAUCUCAUCCUCUGUCGUCCCCUUCUCCUCCUGCCCCCAAUCCCUCCCAGCAUCAGAGUCUUUUCCAAUGAGUCAACUCUUCACAUGAGGUGCCCAAAGUAUCAGAGUUUCAGCUUUAGCAUCAGUCCUUCCAAUAAACACCCAGGACUGAUCUUCUUUAGGAUGGACUGGUUGGAUCUCCUUGCAGUCCAAGGGACUCUCAAGAGUCUUCUCCAACACCACAGUUCAAAAGCAUCAAUUAAUUCUUCGUGACAUUAAGUGAUAGUAUGGAGAAGGCAAUGGCACCCCACUCCAGUACUCUUGCCUGGAGAAUCCCAGGGACGGGGGAGCCUGGUGGGCUGCCAUCUCUGGGGUCACACAGAGUCGGACAUGACUGAAGUGACUUAGCAGCAGCAGCAGCAGCAUGGGCUAUCACUUACUACGUGACUGACCCAGUGUUUAUCUGAAAAACGAGGCUACCACCUGGUUCACUGCCUUGUGGAGGA